GCGCCCUUAGCUCAGUGGAUAGAGCACUUGUCUUCGGAACAAGGGGUCGGGGGUUCAAAUCCUCCAGGGCGCG
rnacentral:tRNA from 1 species